AUUGAACGCUGGCGGCAGGCCUAACACAUGCAAGUCGAGCGCGCGGCGGACGGGUGAGUAAUGUAUGGGGACUGCCCGAUAGAGGGGGGUAACUACUGGAAACGGUAGCUAAUACCGCAUACUAUCGGAUAACACAUAUGGGAUUAGCUAGUAGUGGGGGUAAUGGCUCACCUAGGCGCCGCUCCCUAUCUGGUCUGAGAGGAUGUUCAGCCACACGGGGACUGGGACAGGGCCCAGACCCCUACGGGGGCAGAGGGGGGGAAUAUUGAAAAAUGGGGGAAAGCCUGAUGCAGCCAUGCCGCGUGUAUGAAGAAGGCCCUAGGGUUGUAAAGUACUUUAAGUCGGGAGGCGUUCCCGACAGAAGAAGCACCGGUUAACUCCGUGCCAGCAGCCGCGUAAUAC
rnacentral:rRNA from 1 species